CUGGAAGCUAAAACAAAGCUGUCACUGAGGUUGUGAGGCUCAAGGUCUUAGUGACUGACAGUGGACUAUUUAUUGUUAAGGAAAGAGUACCAGCAAGAGAGGGGGCAGGGUGUGUUAGACAUGGGGAUCAUAACAAGUGACUUCUUUGGGGUUUGUAGGAGGCAAGAGAUCAACUGACUGGCCAACCCGAUGCUCUGGAACACACCAACUACCCCUCCCCCAGAGCCUUGCUGCAUAUCUUCUGUCUGGAUCAUUGCUCCCAUGACGGUUCCUCUCCUGAGCACUUCGUUUACAGAAGUAUGGCACUAUUGUCCCAACUUUUGGCUCUCUGGCUGCAUAACACUCACGGAGUAAAUAAGUGGAACACAAAGCUGUGCACCGGAGUCUCGUGUCCGUAGUCAAGCCCGAAUAAACGGAUGCGGAAGUGGUGUUUCAGGAAACUGGCCCUCCCUGGACACCAGGCUUCCGGUGUGCAUUCCUGAGUGCAGGCAUAUGUGUGCCAGGCCUUCACAGAACAAAGACCAAUAUUCUUAAAACCCGCAGGACUGUCUGUUUCUUGCCUCUGGUUUUCCAGGAACUGCAAUCCUAUUUAAGCCUGCUUUCCCUCAUUGUCAUGAGAGUUGAUCUUCAUGCUUCCUGAUUGAUUUUGCCCCUGCAAGAAGCAUAAGGCUUCGGGAGAGCCACACCACCGUACAUGUCUGAAAUUCUUUGUGAAGGACACAGCAGCAUAACCCGGUGAAUCCAUUCAGGAAUAAAGGCACAGUGAAUCCAGUGGGCCAGCAAGCAGUCUUGAUACAAAAUCCUGAAGAAAACUGAAACUUGAUUCUGCAAGAAAAGGCUGUGUUAAGAUAUGACAUAUUUGAAGGAUGAGUCGGCAUUUUUAAAGAAGUUUAAAAAAGUUAAUUGACAACCAGAAUGGAUUGAUGGGAUAUAUCUUAUCCAUAGCCACUGGACUACACAAAAGAUGGUAAAUAUCAAACCUCAUUAAUAAGCGAAUGCUAAUAAACAUGUGCAUAAUAAAAUGUUUACAGGUUUAUAGUUUGCAUUACUCUUUUAUAUAUUUGAUGUUAUUUAAUCCUCAUGAAAAGUCCUAAAUGUUGAGAACACAGACUUUCUGGGAAAGAAACAGAAGUUUAUUGUGUCUGAAUGACUUCUUGGCGUGUGUAUAAAAUCUUGACAGGUUUUGGGUGCAGUGUCCUUGAUGGCUCUGCCAGAACACACUGCAACCUUCAGUGCUGCCUCCAGCUCACUAAGACAACCAGGAAGUGUUCUCUCUUGCCUUUAAUCCACUUGAUCACAGGGCCACGUUCGCCUAUGCGAUGCUAGCAAUGCUUGCAGUGAUGUGCCUCACCAAUCGAACUCAAUGGCCUUCGUCGCACAGCCAGUGAAAGUUUUACUUAAUUCCUUGAGUGUAUUUGGUUCAUCUUACCUUCUCCUAGACUUCAUGAAACCCCAAGAUGGAUUUUUGAUGAAAAUAAAGUCGAGAUGCCCAGAGGAGUAAGUGGGAAGAAGAGCUUCACCAAGAGAUUAAAAUGAGAGGAAAGAAGACAGAGUGGUUGGAAGUGAGCAAAACUCAUUCAGUCUGUGCGUACACGAUGAGAUGACAACACAGUCUUGGCUCAGUGUUGAAGUAAAUAACUCUGAGCUUAAAAGCUUAAAUUGUCUAUUAUUUGCCAAUUACGCUCAUGAGUAAGAUGUAAAAGUGUGCAUUUAAUGUGUGGUGGUUGGCUUAAAAGCUUUGUGAGAGCAAACUAACCAGCUCUUGGGAUAGUUCCAAGCAUCUGAUGUUUGAUGGUUGCAGAAACAGAAUUCUAGGAUGCAAACUGCGUUUUCUUUUUGCAUGUAUGAAGGUGACUGAACCAAGAUUAGUGUGUGGUCCAGCAAUGGUGCCAUUAUCCAAGGUGGUGACAGCAUGGGCUCCUUUAUCUGCCUGCCGCCAAGGGCAGCUUUCUACUAGUCUUGAGGAAGGUACAGGGAGAGAAAAGGGAUUCAAUAAAUGUGAAUAUUCCCUGUGAUGGUCAGGAUGUGAGGCUAGUAGG